GAUGAACGCUGGCGGCGUGCCUAAUACAUGCAAGUCGAGCGAACAGACGAGGAGCUUGCUCCUCUGACGUUAGCGGCGGACGGUUGAGUAACACGUGGAUAACCUACCUAUAAGACUGGGAUAACUUCGGGAAACCGGAGCUAAUACCGGAUAAUAUAUUUAACCGCAUGGUUCAAUAGUGAAAGACGGUUUUGCUGUCACUUAUAGAUGGAUCCGCGCCGCAUUAGCUAGUUGGUAAGGUAACGGCUUACCAAGGCAACGAUGCGUAGCCGACCUGAGAGGGUGAUCGGCCACACUGGAACUGAGACACGGUCCAGACUCCUACGGGAGGCAGCAGUAGGGAAUCUUCCGCAAUGGGCGAAAGCCUGACGGAGCAACGCCGCGUGAGUGAUGAAGGUCUUCGGAUCGUAAAACUCUGUUAUUAGGGAAGAACAAAUGUGUAAGUAACUAUGCACGUCUUGACGGUACCUAAUCAGAAAGCCACGGCUAACUACGUG
rnacentral:rRNA from 1 species